CGCUGGCGGCGUGCCUAACACAUGCAAGUCGAGCGGAGUUAACAAGAGGAAGUUUCGGAUGGAAUUUGUUAAUUAGCGGCGGACGGGUGAGUAACGCGUGAGCGACCAACCUUGACACAGGGGGAUAACGGACCGAAAGGUUCACUAAUACCGCAUGAGACCACGGUGUUGCAUGACACAGAGGUCAAAGGAGCAAUCCGGUGCAAGACGGGCUCGCGUCCGAUUAGGUAGUUGGUGGGGUAAUGGCCCACCAAGCCUAUGAUCGGUAGCCGACCCGAGAGGGUGAUCGGCCACAUUGGAACUGAGAUACGGUCCAAACUCCUACGGGAGGCAGCAGUGGGGAAUAUUGGGCAAAAUGGGGGAAACCCUGACCCAGCAACGCCGCGUGAAGGAAGAAGGUUUUCGGAUUGUAAACUUCUGUCCUUGGUGAAGAGAAGAAGACGGUAGCCAAGGAGGAAGCCCCGGCUAACUACGUGCCAGCAGCCGC
rnacentral:rRNA from 1 species